AACGUAGGGGGCGAGCGUUAUCCGGAUUUACUGGGCGUAAAGCGCGUGUAGGCGGUUGGGAAAGUUGGACGUGAAAGCUCCCGGCUUAACUGGGAGAGGUCGUUCAAAACUAUCCAGCUCGAGGUUGGAAGAGGAGAGUGGAAUUCCCGGUGUAGUGGUGGAAUGCGUAGAUAUCGGGAGGAACACCAGUGGCGAAAGCGGCUCUCUGGACCAAACCUGACGCUGAGAUGCGAAAGCGUGGGGAGCAAACGGG
rnacentral:rRNA from 1 species